ensembl:lncRNA
CUUUGCUAUGUUGAACCUCAUUAGAUUCACACAGACCCACCUCUCAAGUUUGCUGAAGUCCCCCUGGAUGGCAUCCCUUCCUUCUAACAUGUCAAUCGUACCACUUAACUUGAUGUCAUCAGCAAACUUGCUGAGAGUGCACUUGAGCCCAUCAUUGAUGUCACUGAUGAAGAUGUUGAAGAGACAGUGAGAGUUCAUACUGAGUGCCUAACAACCCUUUCUGUAAAGAAGUGUUUCCUGAUGUCCAACCUAAACUUAUCCUGGAGCAACUUAAGGCCAUCUCUCCUUGUCCUGUCAGCAGUGAGAAGAGACCAGCCCCACUCUUGCUGUAAGCAACUUUCAGAUAUUGGAAGAGAGCAAGUUCUCCCCUCAGCCUCCUUUUCCCCAGACUGAGCAGUCCCAGUUCCUUCAGCGUCUCCUCGUAGGGCACAUUCGCCAAGCCUUUCACAAGCCCUGUUGCCCUUCUCUGGAUCUGCUCGAGCAUCUCAGUGUCCUUCUUGUACUGAGGUGCCCAAAACUGAACACAGUACUUGAGGUGAGGCCUCAUCAGGGCCGAGUACAGGGGCAGGAUGACUUCCCUAGUCCUGCUCACCACACUGUUCCUGAUACAAACCAGGAUGCCAUUGGCCUUCUUGGCCACCUGGGCACACUGCUGGCUCAUACUCAGAUGACUGUCCAUCAGUACACCAAGGUCCCUUUCCAUCUGGCAGCUUUCCAGCCACUCCUCCCCAAGCCUGGAGGGUUGCCUGGUGUUGUUGUGACCAAAAUGCAGGACCCGACACUUGGCCCUACUGAAACUCAUACAGUUUGCCUUGGCCCAUUGAUCCAGUCUAUCCAGGUCCCUCUAUAGUGCCUUUCUCCCUUCAGGCAGAUCAGCACUCCCUCCCAACUUGGUGUUGUCUGCAAACUUACCGAGGGAGCACUCAAUCCCCUCGUCAAGAUCAUCAAUGAAGAUAUUAAAUUGAAGUGGCCCCAGUACUGAGCCCUGGGGGACAGUGCUUGUGACCGGCCACCAACUAGAUUCAACUCCACUGACCACAACACUUUGUGCCUUGCCAUCCAAGCAAUGUUUCACCCAGCAGAGCGUACGCCCAUCCAAACCGUGGGCAGCCAGCUUCUCCAUGAGAAUGUUGUGGGGGACAGAGUCAAAGGCUUUACUGAAGUCCAGGUAGACCACAUCGACAGCCUUACUUUCAUCCACUAAGCCA